AUUGAACGCUGGCGGCAGGCCUAACACAUGCAAGUCGAGCGGUAGAGAGGUGCUUGCAUCUCUUGAGAGCGGCGGACGGGUGAGUAAUGCCUAGGAAUCUGCCUAGUGGUGGGGGAUAACGUUCGGAAACGGACGCUAAUACCGCAUACGUCCUACGGGAGAAAGCGGGGGAUCUUCGGACCUCGCGCCAUUAGAUGAGCCUAGGUCGGAUUAGCUAGUUGGUGAGGUAAUGGCUCACCAAGGCGACGAUCCGUAACUGGUCUGAGAGGAUGAUCAGUCACACUGGAACUGAGACACGGUCCAGACUCCUACGGGAGGCAGCAGUGGGGAAUAUUGGAC
rnacentral:rRNA from 1 species